rnacentral:misc_RNA from 1 species
UUGAAUAAAUUUGGCUAGGUUGUUGCUGGCUCCUUCGGAGUAUAUCGUUGUGCACGCCUGGUUCAUUUUUACAACUUCCCUGUGCAUCCUUGUGGAUUUGAAUAACUCUCGAGCAGAGGGUGGCAAUUUAUUUUGAAUGCGCUUUGCUCGGUGUAAUGAAGGAUUGCUGCGUUUGUGCACAACUGGCCAGCUUUUCUUUGAAUUUUCACAUCCAUGUUCUCUAUUUAUAUACUCMAAUUAUAUGAAGCAUAAAACUGGGCCUGUGUGCCUCUAAAAYUAMAUACAACUUUCAACAACGGAUCUCUUGGUUCUCGCAUCGAUGAAGAACGCAGCGAAAUGCGAUAAGUAAUGUGAAUUGCAGAAUUCAGUGAAUCAUCGAAUCUUUGAACGCACCUUGCGCUCCUUGGUAUUCCGAGGAGCAUGCCUGUUUGAGUGUCAUCAAAUUAUCAACUUUCCAGACUUUUGGUCUUGUACCGAAGCUUGGUACAGUUGGAAUUGUGGAAGGUGCAGGCUUAGGUUUUAUAAGUCGGCUCUUCUUAAAUACAUUAGCAAARCUCAUGCUAAUUCAUCAUUGGUAUAAUAGUUAUUUGUACUAUUGAGAAUUAGUUUCCGCGAGAUUGUGCUUCUAAUCGUCUAUCCCUUUAGACAAUAUCCAUGAAUU